GUGCCUGUGGAUGCAGCACACACCUGUGUAGGAGCCAGGGAGGGCCACGCCGCUGCUUCCAGGAGCUGCUUGAGAAGAGCAAAAGAAGCAGCAGUGGACUCGGGGGGGAGAUCCUGAUUGAAAGAGGUUUCUCCAGUAAGACCACUGGAACCUGAUGCUCAGUCCUGUCUGCAGGAUGCUGGGAGUCCACAACUACUUUCACCACAGAGGGAUGUUCUACGGGUCUCUGCUUGGAAGCAGCUUCAUGUCAUCCUGUGUGGGCAUCCCCUGUGCCAUCCCUGCUGGAAUCUGCAAAGGGCCCAUCACCACCAGAGAUGCUGAUCCUCAGCUGUUCCUCCAAGCUGUGGCUGCUGGAGGGGGCACUAUGGAGGGGCCUGCCUGAUACAUUGCCGGUGACAUGCCUCUUCCUGGGACGGGAACGGGAGCAGGGCACAAAGUGGAAGUUAGCUAAUGUAACGUCAAUAUUUUAAAAGGGCUCUAGAGGUGAUCCCGGCAAUUACGUCGAUACCAGGCAAAUUAGUCGAAACAAUAGUUAAGAAUAAA